UACGAAGGGGGCUAGCGUUGUUCGGAAUUACUGGGCGUAAAGCGCACGUAGGCGGGUCUGUAAGUAGGGGGUGAAAUCCCAGGGCUCAACCCUGGAACUGCCUUCUAGACUGCAGGCCUCGAGGUCAGGAGAGGCGAGUGGAAUACCGAGUGUAGAGGUGAAAUUCGUAGAUAUUCGGUGGAACACCAGUGGCGAAGGCGACUCGCUGGACUGAUACUGACGCUGAGGUGCGAAAGCGUGGGGGAGCAAACAGG
rnacentral:rRNA from 1 species